CGACCGGUCCAGGAAGGGUGGCACCUCUGCCCAGAGCAGACAAGGGGCGCCCAGGUCGGUGGUGUUGCCCCACGGACCUGCCGCGGAGCCCCGUCGGAGGCGCGGGGUGCUCGGUGGUCGCUGCCGGCUGGGAAGCAGGUUUUGUUGCUGAAGUGCAGUGAAAUCCUUAAUCUUCCACAUAAAGUGUCUUAUGCCAUCUGCCUAAGGCCAACGAGCAGUUUCAGAUCUCAGCCUUCCAGUGGCAGGUGGGUUGUGGACACCCACCUGAAAAGAAGCAGAGAGAGAAGGAGACGCAGCACUCUGCUUGCCAGUGAUCUGGGAAUUGUAGAAUCUCCAUGUUGAAAGCAGCUUAGAGUUCCAACAUCUUGCCAUAUGGAGGAAUCUUUUCUAGAACUUCCUGGCAAGUGGACCCCCAUCUACUUCUUGAAAACUGAUCAUGGGGCAGUUCCUUACUUGGAAGCCAGCACAUUCCAUCUCUGAGAAGUCUGAACUGUCUGAAAAAUAUUCCCUCGUGCAGUCACUUCCAGGCAUUGAACUUUUUCAGACUGAACUCAAAAUGUGAAGAAUUAAGCCAUUGGAUUUUACCUGCUUCAUCAAUAUUUUUUGAGAGGAAAAAAAUCAGACUGCAUCCUCCUGUCCAUCCAAAUCUUACUAAUUAAAGUUCCUUUUUGUUUUCUAAAUGUCCUUCUCUAAAUGACUUCA